rnacentral:rRNA from 1 species
CGGACGGGUGAGGAAUACAUCGGAAUCUACUCUGUCGUGGGGGAUAACGUAGGGAAACUUACGCUAAUACUGCAUACGACCUACGGGUGAAAGCAGGGGAUCUUCGGACCUUGCGCGAUUGAAUGAGCCGAUGUCGGAUUAGCUAGUUGGCGGGGUAAAGGCCCACCAAGGCGACGAUCCGUAGCUGGUCUGAGAGGAUGAUCAGCCACACUGGAACUGAGACACGGUCCAGACUCCUACGGGAGGCAGCAGCG